rnacentral:rRNA from 1 species
UGACGUGGACGCUUGCCCCGAAGAUUAAGCCAUGCAAGUCUGUGAAUGUUWUGGAACAGUGUACGGCUCAGUAUAACACGUCUAUCUACCCAACCCUUGUGUAUAACCAUGGUAAACUAUGGCUAAUGGGAUGGAUGAGGAUGUGACCUAUCAGCUUGACGGUACGAUAAGUGCGUACCGAGGCGAUAACGGGUAACGGGGAAUAUGGGUUUUAUUCCGGAGAGGGAGCCUGAGAGAUGGCUGCCACGUCCAAGGACGGCAGCAGGCGCGAAACUUACCCAAUGAACAUUGAGGUAGUUACGGGGCGUACUUGUAUGCAGCAUGUGUAAACACCAUGCCGAAGUACUGGAGGGCAAGUCUGGUGCCAGCAGCCGCGGUAAUUCCAGCUCCAGUAGCGUCUGUGUUUAUUGCUGCGGUUAAAAUGUGCGUAGUCUGGCGGUGUAGAGUGCGUUAAAUUUACAUUUUCAUAGUGUAGACAAUGACACUUACUACAGCCUUGAGACAGGGAAGAGGUGAUGUUAUUUGGUAGCGAGAGGUGACAAUCGAUGACCUACCAAGGAGCACCAGAGGCGAAAGCGAUCACCGAGAACUGGUCUGACGAUCAAGCACGUGAGCAGGAGUAUCGAAGAGGAUUAGAGACCCACGUAGUUCCUUGCAGUCAACAAUGCCAACACUGUGGUGCUAUCAUAAGCAUUGCAGAAGCGAAAGCUAGUGUAUGGGCUCCGGGGAUAGUACGGACGCAAGUUUGAAACUUGAAGAAAUUGACGGAAGGACACCACAAGGAGUGGAGUGUGCGGGUUAAUUUGACUCAACGCGGGAAAACUUACCCGGGCAGGCGAUUGUCGAGCGAAGAUCAUAUCUGAUGACAUCGCGCGAGGUGCAUGGCCGUUCUUAACACGUGGAGUGAUCUGUCUGGUCAAAUCUGAUAACGCGUGAGAGGUGAGUAUAUGUACUAAGUACGUAUAGACGAUGUCUGUAAAGACAAGGAAGCGACACCCAAUAACAGGUCCGUGAUGCCCGUAGAUGUCCGGGGCUCCACGCGCACUACAAUGGUAGGUGCUAUGUUAAAGUGGUGCCUAUCGUAGUUGGGAUUGACAUAUGUAAUUAUGUCAUGAACGUGGAAUUCCUAGUAGUUGGUAGUCACUAACGACCAACGAAUAUGUCCCUGUUCUUUGUACACACCGCCCGUCGUUAUCUAAGAUGGAGGUGCGGGUGAAGAUGCGAGUGUCGUGAGGUUUGAUAAGGGGAGGAWGUAUGAGGCGAGGUGUGAUGAUAUUUAUAUCGUCAUAUUAAACCGAGUAUGUACGACGCUGUCUGACUGACAUGAGCAUAAGAACCCGUGCAGCUAGAUUGGAUGU